rnacentral:tRNA from 1 species
GCUGCGGUGGCGAAACUGGCAGACGCACUAGCUUCAGGAGCUAGCGGAGGCAACUCCAUGAGGGUUCAAGUCCCUCCCGCAGCACCA